GGGUGUUCCGACGAAGGCAGGGUGGAGGUGUGUGCACAGGCAGGGAAGGGCCGGCAGGAGGAAAGUUGUGUACACCUGAGGCCCACAGGGCUCCCUCGCGGUUUGCGCUCUCUAGCCCUGAAACAAUCUGGUGAAUGGGAACUAUUUUUAUUUCCAUUUUACAGGAAGGAAACAGAGGCUCAGAGGGGUUAGAAACCUGGGGAUUUGACAGAGUAGCUCAGGCAGGAGAAGGGCCAGCCAGGAUUGGAUCUCAGCUCUCCAAUGACUGCAAGUUCUUCAGACGGACAGCAUCCUUUGCAUAAUGAGGCCGUCAGAUCGGGAGACAAGUGCCCAUUGAAGACAUCGUUCCUUACCCACAGUUCCCGAGAAGGCACGCCAUGCCGGGAACUGACUAACCCUGAGAGGGACGGUCCCUCCUGGGUCAGUCAGCAAGACGUCAAGAUGCCGGAGCAUCAGGAUAAAAAGACAUGUUUCUGUAGUCGGCUGCCCCUGCCAUGAACUCCUGCAGCUCACCGAGCUUGACCCUUGACUUGUCCAUCACGCUGUACUGUCGUAAGGGCAGAGGUAAACCUCCCAAAGCAAAGCGUCUGCACACAAAAGAUGAUGGGG